CGGCAUGGGCAGCACUGACGAUAAAACGCAGAACGGUAGCCCCUCGUCAAAAGGCAGCUACAUCUUCAGCCCUGGAGCUGACAAGCCGAGCCAUCGACGAUCGAAUCGGCUCGCGAACGUCAACAAGAAGCAAGACCACUUAAAGUAGAACACGAAGCGACACCUGCAAUUAGAAACCACCCAGACCAGCAUAGCUGAUAGCUUAGGCCUGCUUGAUUAUCGAGCUUAUCGAGAACGCGGAAAGAAGAACCGCACACACGAUAGGAUUUCCACACAUUUGCUCCCGACCGGUCCGCCCAAGCACCAUUAGACUGGGACCGUUGAAUCAACGCCAGGGCACAUCUCGGUUCAUGCCAUCGACCUGCACGAAUAUAGACAAAGGGUACGAGGAAAAACUAGAUGUGAGUGACUAACUAAAGCUAUACUAAAAUGGAUCUAAUAAAUAUGAAUUUUCCAGCUUUGAGCUGCGUCAAACAAACCGCUGCUUCAAGGAGUUUGUAC